GAGAAUUGAGAUUUGAGAGAGAAUAAAAAAUUGUGUGAAAAAUGAUUUGAAAGUGUAGGGUAUUUAUAGAAUUUUUUUUGAGAUUAAAAAAGUAUUUUAAGUGAAUUUUUUUUAAUUAAAGGGGCCAUUUAGCUGUUUUGGGCUCCCAACGGUCAUAUUUUCGUUGGGCCCAACGGCCAUUUUUUAGAAUUUACCAAUUUUUUUUUGUAAUUUUUUUUGUUAUCCGGGCCGAGCCGAUUAACCGGCGGGCCUGGACUGGUUUUGGUCUGGGCAGGGUUAACCGGGCCCAAAAAAAUAACCUAGCCCAAGACCCGGUACCCUACAGCCCAUAGGCUAAUCGGGCCUGAUCAAACCAGGACUGAUAGUGUGGUGGGCUGGGCUAGUUCAGGCCGGGUCAAACCAUCCCGAUUGACAGUCUUAAGACAGGGUAUAAAAUAGAAUUUAGAGAUAAUCCCCAAUUACCUCCCUAAACUAUAUCCAAAAAAGGCUAUGACACACCUCAACUUCAAGGGAGUCCUAUUACUCCCCUGAACUAAUUAAAAUUAUAAUUUUAAUACCCUUAGUACAUACGUGGCACAUACAUGGCUCAUAUGUGGCACAACAUAGUGAAGUGUCCACGUAGACACACAUAUGUGCCACGUAUGUGCCACGUAUGCACUAAGGGUGUCAAAAUUACACUUCUAAUUAGUUCAACGGGUAAUAGGACCCCUUUAACUUGAGGUGUGUCAUAGCCCUUUUGAGUAUAAUUCAGGGGGGUAAUUGAGUAUUUUCUCUUGAAUUUAUUACUACUCAAUAAAUAAAAUGAGAUCUCCUUAACAGUUACCUGUAUGCUAUACUAAAACAUAUUAAGCAAAAGAUAAUAGCAUGGGAAGAAAAAAAUGAUUAUAUAUUUGUUGACGAAUGAAAAGAUCACUGAAAAUUCAUUAAGAUUAGCAAACACUAAAUUAGAAAUCGAACUGCUAUCUAGUAAAAAGACUCAAGAAAUUAUUUUAAAUAAACAUAAACACCGAAUAACACAAUGUUAAAUACAUAAAGUUGAAGAUUUACAACUUUAGUUUUCUCAUGCAUGCAAGACUCAAUUUUAGAGUUGCUAUCUAAAAAAAUUAGUGUAUGUUUUUAUGCAAAAGACGGGGACACCAAAAAGAAACAAUAAAUAGGAAUAUCAGAAAAUGCCUCCCAAAAUGUAAGAUUAUGCCACAGCACCUUGUCAAUGCAUAGCUUAUGUCAUGACCUGAACCGGGCCCGAGCCGUGACGAGCAUCCCGAACGUCCUUCUAACUUGUAAGCACAUACACUGUUCAUAUAUAGAAAAGAUAAGACAAAAAUAUAUAAUGAAAUGGAAUCAUGGUCAUUAAAUCUGAAUUCAAAUCAUAUUGAAAAUUGCAAUUCAAAUUAUCUGAAUGAUAUCUAACUCAGUCUGCGAAAUCUCUACUACAUGCAAAAACUCAACUGUCUAAAAACUGGAACAAGGCCCCUAGUAGACCAAAGCAUAAUAAUGAUAAAUGAAUGAAGUAAACUAGGCCUUCUAAAAUAUAGAAGGCUUACCACGGAACACUGCACUUCUGUCUAUAGAAAGAUCUACUGCUUAUUGGGACCCCUAGAUUGAGCCUCAAAACCUGGAAGAGAGGGGGGUCAAUACAGAUGUACUGGUACGCAGAGCGAUCCAAGAAGAGGUCCAAAAUAAAGCUUGUAUAUAAACAAAAUAGUUGAGAUCUAGUCAUAAACAUCAUGAGAGAUAUGAUUUCAAAACACAUGGGCAUUUUUGAAAAUAUAAAGCCUUUCUGUCAAUGCAAUCUAUUCUUUGUAUUACUUCUGAGUUAGGUGACACUCCCCUACAAGUCUGAUAUUCCAUGGACUAUAUGGAAUUCACCAUUAACUUGGUGGGGAAGUUCCCUACCAAAGUUUACCGCAAGGGUUGGAGUCUCUGAAUUUACUACGCCACAGGACCGUCGCCAACGUACAAUAAUAUACCCGUAUCGACAAAACACGGAUUUGGGCAAUGAGUUGUUUGAACUCAUGCCUUAUUUGGAGAACCACCUAAUCUCUCUUUAUGCCUAAUUUUAUCCUGUUAUGAAACAUUCAUCAUUCUAGUUUCAAAUUCUAAAAAUCUGAUUUUAAACAUGUAUUCUAUUCUGUUAUGAAUUAACAUAGCAUUAUCUGAGUUGGUGUCGUCACACCAAAACUUACAAGUCCUAUUUCUGAGCCAUAAUGUAUCAUGCAUAUUUCUUUCUUUAAAACAUAAUUCAAACCACCCAAGCAUGUAAAUAGUAUAGGAAAUUUCAUGUUCUGAAAGUACAAGUCAAAACUAUGCCAAGAUUCUCAUUCUUUUAAUAACCAUAUGGUGGUCAUGUAUUUUUGGCAAACAUGCAAUUCUUUCAUUAAAUAUGUAUUCACCAUUUAUCAACUUGCACAACCCUCUCUUUUUUUUUUAUCCAAAAUCAUAUUCAAGUCAUAGUAAUAAUCAAGAUAUUUCACAUCAUGCUUUUCAAAAUGCAUUUCAAACACAAUUCAUAUCAUAUGAAAGAUGGGAAAAAUCAUACCAAGAGAGGAAUUCUUUAUGAUUCAUGCUAUCAAUUGAAUAUUCAUCCUUAAAAAAAUGCAUACAUAUAUAUAGAGUUUCAAAUCAAUUUAGGGGAAGGCCUAAAGACCAAAAUAAUACUGAUCAAGGCUUCUAAAACAUGCUAGUAAUCGUAAAUUUUCUUAAAAAUCAUGAUUUCUAAAUCAUUAGAAUGAAUUAAAGAUGGUUUCUUUUCCUAUGAAAUUUUAGGAAAUCCCCAUAUACCACAAUUUAGGAAUUCAAUGGGUGUUUUUUGAAGUCUACAGUUUGGGGAUUCCGAAUCCUCAAUCAAUUUCUGAAACCUAUGGUUGAAUCUUGAGUUAUUUAAAUUUUGGGUUGAAACCCUAAUGAGUGUUCUUAGGGAUUUAUGAUGAAAGUGAAAGUACUUGGGUAUUUGGGGAUAUUAAUCCCGUGUUAAGGCUGAAAAGAUAUGGGGAAAAUGACUAAUUUACCCACUAGGAUGCGGAAAUUUUAAAGCUGAAAACUGGGUAUCGACGCUGCAGGCAAUGCGGCUCGUCAGGGCAUCGAGGCGAUACUUGACGCGUCGCGCCACCAUUGUAUCGAGUCUCAGUACUUUUUCUGCACAAAAAUAUACCAACAAGAUGAGCAACGCAGGAACCUAGAUCGGUGUAACGCCCUGAUUAUCUGAACAGGAAUGCUACACGAUGCUCAUGACCCUAAAGGACCACAAGCUAACCCAUGACUGAUAUCUGUACCUGUAUACUGCAUAAUAUGACAUGAAAAUACGGAAACAUGCACUGAAAGGCCAUAAGGUUCAAUAUUGAAUAUAACCUAAUAAUAAGAAUGUCUGAAUAAAGUGGUAUUAAAAUACCAAAACAAAACUGAAAUACUAAAGUCUGAAACAUGAUAGUCUAUAUCUAGUCUGCAUCUAGCCUGAAAGCCUCUACUGACUGAAUAAUCUGAAUAAGGAAUUGAUGGGACAUGUCCCCAACUAACUUCAACUAAUAGAUAAUCAAUGAAGUAAUGAAGAAAUAAUCAUGUCCUAGAAGGAUGAGGACUUUCUUCUGACUUUGACUGCUGAAACUGGAAUCUACUGCUGAUCUGGAACUCGUGUCUCUGAACCUAUGGUGUAAUAUAAGAGAAAGAAAAAUAGCGCAAAUGCAUCACUACAAAGGAAUGUACUGAGUAUACAUGUGAGGUAGGCUAUAUGCAAGGGCUCACAGGCAUGACUAAUGCUAACUGACUGUCUAACAUAGACAUAAGAAUGCAUACAUAAACACGUAAUCGUAACUGACAACAUGAUAAAAUGAUUUUUGAGUCUGUAUACUGAUAACAUGACAUACUAAGAACUAAUAUGACUGAUAACAUGAAAGACUGUAUAUGAAUAAAACUGAUAACAUGGGUGUCUGUAUUUGACAGUCCUAAAUCUGAUGGAACUACCUGAGUUCCGUACUGUAUCUGAGUUGACUGAGUCUGACAAUCCUGAUUGUGUAACAUAAAACUAUGGGAAGUAGUUAUCUAACCGACAUGCCCCAAAUAUGCCAUAAUAGUUGAGCUGGGGUCCAAUCUAUGCCCUAAUUAUAAGGGUGUCAAUACCGCGCCACUGGUAAGGACAACAUGUGUGUGACCUUCAUAUAACAGGUGACUCUAAUGAGAACGGUGGGAACCCUCAUAAAAUAGGUUAAUCCACCUCAUCUACCCUCAUAUAGCAGGCUAUGAUGUCUCAACCUAUGCUGGAUACAUAUUUCUAGAACACAAGGAUUGCUUCUAAGAAUCACACCCUCAUAUAACAGGUGAGUUACCAUCCUUGGGUUCACUCGAUGCUAAUUUCUACUCCCAUCUGAAUAGAUACUAAACAUGAUUUAACUAAAAUAAACAUGAACUGAGUGACUGAAUUCCAUUGACUGAUGGGAUAUUACUGAUAUCUGACAACUGACUGAGUCAUGAGAUCAUGGAGAUUGUUCUUGAGUCGUAAGACUAUCUGAAGUCUAAGAGUUCAUAGCUUGACUGUGAGUAUAGUGAAAACAUGACAUGGCUCUCGGCACACAACUAAUGUUUCGAGUACAAGUAUCCUCAGGACUCG
rnacentral:lncRNA from 1 species